rnacentral:lncRNA from 1 species
NNNNNNNNNNNNNNNNNNNNNNNNNNNNNUAUGGGUAAAAUUAGCAAAAAUUGCAAAAGUUUCAGACUUUUGUCUAGGCCCAGAUGAUACAGUACAUGGAAUGUUGGGAACAUGUUUAAUUCCAGUUUGCAAGGAGCCUCAGAGUAUUGCAAAUCACACAGAUUUAGGUCAGUGGUUUGACGAAUCUAUUGUAAAAUAUACUAAUUCACACCAAUGGGGAUACAUCACCAGGCGACUCCCGGCUGAUGCUUUUUCUUUGCAUACACCUAUAGUGGCAGCUGGCGAAAACACAACCUGUGCCAGAGUGGUUGGUUGUUCUUUAAAUAAAUGUGUGAAGACACCCAAAGCUACAUGGAAUUGUUCCCAGCCAGUGAACAUCUCUUAUAAUUGGGCUCAUAUAAUUCUGCCCCCUGGUUGGUUUUUUACAUGCGGGCAGCAAACAUUUAAUUAUAUACCAGCAAAUCUAAGUGACACUUUUUGUUGUUUGAGUCGUUUGGUACUUAAUUUACCACGAAAGGAGGAAUUGUCAUUAGGACGAAAUGCAAGAAUAAAGAGAGACCUUCACGAGUUGAGCCCAGAUUGUAACAGCCAUGUACACAUUUUUAGUGAUGCUGAAUUUUUAUCUUUAGGGAUAUCCUUGGUAGGUGUUCCAGCUUUAGCUGUGUAUAAUGCGAAGCAAGUAUCAGCUUUGGCUUGUGCACUAGUUAAGUCCAUAAAUGAAACCUCCACGGCCAUCAGUCUUUUAAAUCAGGAACAGCAGCAAUUGCGAGGAGCCAUACUCGACAAUAGAGCUGCUCUUGAUUAUCUGAUGCUUAAGGAUGGACGGGGCUGUGAAAGCUUUCGUAACUUGUGCUGUUUUAACCUGACGGACAACAGUAAGUCAAUCCAUCAUCAAGUGGCUGGUCUCAGGGAAAUUGUAGAGAAUAUAAGGGAGGACACAAACCCUGCAUGGUGGGACUGGCUUACUGGGUGGUUAUCGUUUGGGUGGCUAAAGGCAUUGUUUGUAGCUGCAAUAGGACUUAUAGUAAUCAGUCUAAUCGUAUGCUGUGGCCUACAACUCAUAACUAAAUGUUUUCCGAAAGCCAUUCCCUCACCCUGGGGAAAAAGAGGCAUGAUUACUAUUAGGUUAGUAAGAACUACGGCACUGGUUGAAGACCCACCUUUGGAGGAGUUAGAUGUUUCCAGUGAUUAUGCCUCAUUAGAGAUGGAUAAGGUCUCCUGCAAUUAUGAGGAGAUUCCCAGGGAGUAAAAUUUGUUCAAGUAUUUGGGGCUGGAUUGUUAUGGAUAGAGAGGCCCAAUAAUGAACAAAUUUUACUGAUAAUCAAUGGUUUUGUUAGAGCUAACAAAGAGCAAAGCAAGCCUGCUUAUGUUUGCAGAUUCAAUUGCAAGAAUUAUUUUAAGAUAUUGUUUGACUAACACAAAAAGAGGAUGUGAACGUAGACACAGAUGCCUGGGGGAGCAGAAAUGUUCCAGACGAGGUCGAAAACAGGAUGUUGAAACAAU